UACGGAGGGGGCAAGCGUUAUCCGGAUUUACUGGGUGUAAAGGGAGCGUAGACGGCGAUGCAAGUCUGAAGUGAAAGGCGGGGGCCCAACCCCCGGACUGCUUUGGAAACUGUAUAGCUGGAGUGCAGGAGAGGUAAGUGGAAUUCCUAGUGUAGCGGUGAAAUGCGUAGAUAUUAGGAGGAACACCAGUGGCGAAGGCGGCUUACUGGACUGUAACUGACGUUGAGGCUCGAAAGCGUGGGGAGCAAACAGG
rnacentral:rRNA from 1 species